rfam:Eimeria maxima Weybridge genomic scaffold, Emw_scaff1681
CUUUAGGCUUCACUAGAAGCCACCAUAUAAAUAAAUAAAUAUACAU